rnacentral:ncRNA from 1 species
UAUUGUUCUGAUCAUCUCAGGUCAGCUAUUAGUAAAGAAAGACCAGCCAGGUCCUUUGGAGCUGAUCAGAUUAAUAUAGAAGCUACUGAUUCCAACAUCCUCAACCUAACUCUCUUCUGAAACAAUGAAGUGUACAAAUUCCAUCUUGGCUUUUCAGCUCUACAUCAUU